rnacentral:rRNA from 1 species
UACGGAGGGGGCUAGCGUUGUUCGGAAUUACUGGGCGUAAAGCGCGCGUAGGCGGACCUGCAAGUCGGGGGGUGAAAUCCCCGAGCUCAACUCGGGAACUGCGUCCGAUACUGGUGGGCUUGAAUCCGGGAGAGGGAUGCGGAAUUCCAGGUGUAGCGGUGAAAUGCGUAGAUAUCUGGAGGAACACCGGUGGCGAAGGCGGCAUCCUGGACCGGCAUUGACGCUGAGGCGCGAAAGCUAGGGGAGCAAACGGG